GUUCAGGGCUUGUCAUCUGUUUCUGGGAUAUAGAGAAAUGGAAAAUAGAAGAGUUCUAACCUCAUUCUGUAUUGCAAGGGAAGGAGCUUGUCAUAUAGUCACUUGUGUUGGACCCUUGAAUGGCUCAACUCACUGUCCUCGUACAGUGAUCACUUCAAAGAAGCACGUGUUUCACUGAAUACAACCAGGGGCCCAUCUAUCUCAUGCCUCUAGCUUUUCAUCCUCCUCCCUUGAAAAUUAAGAUAGCAGCCCCAGCUCCAGGUGGAAAGGACAGCUUACUCAUCAAGGGAGUUACAGUGUCUGCAGCCUGUACUGAGUCAGAGUAUCUGAGAGAGGCUUUCCUCUUCUCUUUGUGUUGGUCCAGGAUCCCAGGAACCAAUCUGGAACAAAGGACAGAUGGAAUUUGGAGAUAGACACCUAUAUGGGGAGAAUGCCCUGUGAACAUGAAAUCAGCCAUCUACAAGCCAAGGAGGGAAGCUUGGGACAGAGCUGCCAACACUUUGACUUUGAACUUCUAGCCUCUGGAACUGGGCUCCAGAAGCUUGGAUGUGCUCUAUCACCCUCUGAGAGCUGAUGGCAUGUGAAUCUCAUCCCAAAUCUGAGUGCAGAGUGCUUUUUGUUUGGCAUAGAGCAUUUCAUGAGACUGUUGUUCUGUGGUUCUGACUCAGAGAAACAUCGAGUUUAUUUCCCCUAAGGAAGCAGCCAUGCCGUGGGUCUCACAGCUGCAGAAAGUUCAGCUUCAUGGGACUGAGCUACUUUCAGGAAAUAAGGAUGCAGGUGAAAAUUUUUGAUUACAUUUAGUUCAAAUCCAUUACACCUCCUGGGGGCAGAGCAGAACAGCUCCAAGGAAAUAACCUACUGGAAAUGAUCAGGAGUCAUUUUUCUUGAUCCAUGAAUCCUUUGAUUCCUGUUAUUUCACAUCUGUGACUCAGAAGCAGCCAUUUGAAGAGAAAAAAACCAAGAAGUACUAGGUUGUCUCCCUUAGUGGAGUGGUUCAGGAAAUUUAGGAAAAAAAUAUGCAAGCGUGAUUUUAUCAAAUUGAACACACCACUACAGAUUUGCCUUUGGAGCACUCCAUUUAUUCCUACUCAGACCUUGACAAACUGAUCCAUCUGUCUUGAAAUGGAACAUUGGGAGAUAAAUGGACCAUCAUCAUUGUCAGUGGUUAAAAAAGUAAGACUAAAGAUUUAACUUGUAUAUUUCAGUUUCAAACAUGCACACAUAGAGUGAAGGAAAUGUGAACCGGAUGAACACAAGCUUCCUAAACAUUUGCAAAAUCGCGAUACUUCAACUUCUUAUUUAUCUGAUGUGUAUUAUAUUAUUUAAAGCUAAACUUUAAAAAAUUUUAGACUUGCUAUUUGAUCUACGGGUGUGACAAGUAUUUGUGUCUAAAUCUGGUGAAAACUUGGGAUCAUGCAGACAAAACAUUCAUCAAUCCUUGUUUCAUAUUUUUAGGUCACUAUCAAUAAACUCUACCCACCUCUCAUGCUCAUUUCAGUUCUCA
rnacentral:lncRNA from 1 species